rfam:Erinaceus europaeus unplaced genomic scaffold scaffold00090, whole genome shotgun sequence
CUGCAGCCAAUGAAGCCGACCGUGCUGGCCUCCCCAUGGCGCCCGAUGUGCAGUGGCUGCAAAUAGCAGCCCCCUGGGUAGUGUGUGCAGCUUGCUGCUUGUGUAGCUGCCCUGAGGAGCCCUGGAGACGCCC